rnacentral:rRNA from 1 species
UGGGGAAUAUUGCACAAUGGGCGCAAGCCUGAUGCAGCCAUGCCGCGUGUAUGAAGAAGGACUACGGGUUGUAAAGUACUUUCAGCGGGGAGGAAGGGAGUAAAGUUAAUACCUUUGCUCAUUGACGUUACCCGCAGAAGAAGCACCGGCUAACUCCGUGCCAGCAGCCGCGGUAACACGGAGGGUGCAAGCGUUAAUCGGAAUGACUGUGCGUAAAGCGCACGCAGGCAGUUUGUUAAGUCAGAUGUGAAAUCCCCGGGCUCAACCUGCGAACUGCAUCUGAGACUGGCAAGCUUGAGUCUGGUAGAGGGGGGUAGAAGUCCAGGUGUAGCGGUGAAAUGCGUAGAGAUCUAGAGGAAUACCGGUGGCGAAGGCGGCCCCCUGGGCGAAGACUGACGCUCAGGUGCGAAAGAGUGGGGAGCAAACUGG